UAGUAGAAAGAAAGAAAGAGAAAGAAGGUAUCAACGCUGUUGAGCAUGAGAAUUAUUUUAAACAAAAAAAAUGAUAUCUCAUUAACUAUUAAUCGUAGAGAAGCCUAUAAGGGGUCAUUUUGUUCGUAAAGCGAUUUUCUAAAAAUUGUACGCAUUAUGUCUAGAUCUCGGAUUCAUAGUUUUCGAGAUAUUCUACUAUUAAGUUAAAACAACGUGCAUUCUGCUAUUAACAUAAGAAAGAAUCGAAGGUCGGAAAAGAUCGGGCAUCUUCGAAGUUUUUCGAAGCAGGUUUGAAUACGUUUAUUGUUCCUCAGUGCGUAAUUGACUGUGUUAUCAAUAGAGAGUGAUACAUUAUACAGUGACACAUAAAAGUGCGUCAUUUUGUAACGACUAAAAUGGAUUUACAAGGG